AAUUUCCCCCAGCCCCGGGACUGAUGGAGCUGCCUCUCAGCGCCUCCUUCCCCGGGAACCAGCAAACCCAGCGCUGCCGAGAGGCGGAUGAUUGACCCAAAUACGCAUAGAGAUACUGGGGGAGGGGAGACACGGCGACACGGUGGCGGCCCCAGACUGGAAGGGCGGGUCACAGAUCCCUCCCCACCCCCCACUCUCAUAGAGCGCGGGCAGGAGGAGCCUCUGGAUCCCGCGUAGCGGACAAACCCCGAAGGCCAGGUUGUGAGUCCCAGGGAGGGAGGUGGAGGGUGGGGGCGGGGCUUGCUCCGGCCCGCCCCCUCCGCGCCGGAGCAGCUUGGGCGCCCCCUGGCGGUCCCCAGCCCCCGCUCCGCUCCUCGUGCGCCCCCCUCCCGCCGUCCUCGACCCCAGCCUGGCCCAGAGACCAGGUCGGUCUCCGCGGACUGACAAACGGACGGAAGGGAGGACGGCCAGCCGCGAGCGCCCGGACGGCAGGAGGGGGCGGGCAGGCGACUGCCGCGGCGUGAGGAGCAGGAGCAGAAUGUUUGGAAUACUUUGUGAUGACCGGAGAUGGAGAAGCCAUUUUCAAACACAAGGUGGAUGAUACAUAUUAAAGAUGGCACAGUUAUAAGACAAAAGGAUCCUGGGGACUGUAUGAUCACAGAGGAGCUGCCAUAUCUGCCCUGGGCUGGCUACAUUAGUGUGAAAAGGAAAAUAAACUGCUAUUUCAAAAGCCACUAUUGACUUCCAAUUUUCCCUCUAACAUAUAAAGUCCUGAGAGGUCAUCACUCCCAUCUUCAUAGUAAGAACAAAAGCUGAACAAAUUGAAAAUCAAUAACCUUUCUUAGAUCCCUCAGAGAAUUGAAGUGACAGGGCAAACUGCCACUCAGAAAACUGGAGAAAGAAGGAGAAUAAGAAAAUUAUAACUAAGAUCAAAUUACCUCAUGCUGCUGGAGUCAUAAACUGGUAGAAGUACUUAAGCAGUAGCUCUGACAAAUUGUUAAAGGAUGAGUGUGGACUAGCUUGAGAAUAAAAACCUCCUCAGGUCCUGGUCUUAGGGAUGGUACCAUACUUUCAUGGGUUUUCAUCCUCAGGACCCAGUCUUGGGGAUGCUACUACACUGUCAUGAGGUUUACUUCCAGGAACCCCACCAGAUUCUCACUGUAAAGAUGCAAGAAAAAUAUUCUCCUCUUUCUGGGGGAUGGAAAGAAGUAAUCAUUUAAAAAUAUACCCAGAUUAUUCCUUCCAUCUCAAGGGAAGAUGUCGGAGCCUUAUCUGACCUGGGAAAAG